AUGAAUUCUUCUUCCUCGUACUCCGGCCCGGACUACCAGGUCGCCACCUCCGACCACGACGACGACGCCGCUACCGCCGUCCUCCCGAGGCCCGCCGACGCUGCUCCCGUCGUCCUCCCGAAGCGCGCCGACGCCGAGGGCUUCGUCUCGUCCCUGCGCUCGCCGGACGACGCCGAUGCCGUGUGCAAGAAAUACGGCAUCCCGAGGGACCACUACACCGCGCGCCCCGCCGGCGACCUGCGCGCGUGCUCGCCCCCGCCGCCGGGGUGCGUCUGCGUGUACGCGCACGCGCUGGAGGCCGGGAUGCGCGUCCCGCUACACCCCUUCUUCUGCGAGGCGCUCGCCCACUUCGGCGUCGCGCCGACGCAGCUCGCGCCCAACGCGUGGCGCAUCAUGGCGGGCUUCCUCGUGCUCUGCCGCUCCGCCGGCGUGCCGCCGUCGCUCGCGGUGUUCCGGCGUUUCUUCCUGCUGUCCGUCCUCAACCUCAAGCACAAAAAAAGAUGGUACUACUUCAAACCCAGUUUCAGGGACGGCCCCGGCCUGCGCUUCACGGGGUUGCCAGAUUCCAUCUACGGCUGGAAGCGCGGCUUCUUCUUCCUCUCUUCGCCGACCCCGUGGCCUUGUCCCGUGGAGUGGGGCGAGCCGUCCAAGAGCUCCUUCAUGGAGCCGGUGCUUACAGACGAGGAGAAGAAAUCCGUGGCGAAGCUGCUAGGUGCUAACGGCGGCGCCGCCGUUGAUAUCAGGACAUGUUUGUGCGACAGCAACCUUGCCGCUGCCGUGGCAACUGCCGCACCUCCGCCGCCGCCCUCUACUCGUUCCAAUUCCAAAGGGAUGGAUUCCGCCGUCUACGACAUGAUGAAAACCAUGCUGGCGGAGAAGAUGGCCAGGCAAGCGUCGGCAUCGGCAAAGAAGGUGAAAGCAGAGCCAGGGUCGUCGCCGUUGUGCGGGAAGAAAGGGAACCUGGACGAUGCCAACGACGAGGACGCUCCACCUGCCGCCCGUGGCCACUCGGUGCCUACCAGCGUGUGUUCGCUACUGCCGGGGGCCUCUCGGCAGCCACAAGACUUCGCCGACGGAGACGGCACGGACUGGGAGGCUGCACGGGAGCUGCUGCAGGGCGCCGUCGCGCCACCGCAGCAGCGCGUGUUUGCGGCGACCGAGCCAUCAGACGUCGUCGCGUCGAGCUAUGUUGCGAUUCUCCAGGCGGCGAACUACGUGUCGUUCUCCUUGGACUACGCUCUGGAGCUGGAAGAGAAGCUGUUGGCGCGUGAGGCGGAGAUCGCCGCGCUGCAGAAGCAGCUGGAGGAGGCCAAGGGCGAGCUCGCCACGGCGAAGGUGCGGCGGAGGUAG
rnacentral:rRNA from 1 species